rnacentral:rRNA from 1 species
UCAUGAUUGGGGUGAAGUCAUAACAAGGUAUUCGUAGGUGAACCUGCAGAAGGAUCA